CGCCGUCGCUGCCGCUGCUGCUGCGUUGCUAUUUCCCGCCGCCGCCGCGCCUGCCGUUUAGGCUACUGCACCUCCCAGCCCCACCUUCGUCGCGGCCACUGCUACUCCGUUGCUAAUUCCUGCCACCGCCGCGCCUGCUGCUGUCUCUAUUUCCCGCCGCUGCUGCGCCUGCCGUUUAGGCUACUGCACCUCCCAGCCCCACCUUCAUCGCGGCCGCUGCUACUCCGUUGCUAAUUCCUGCCGCCGCCACGCCUGCUGCUGUUGCUAUUUCCCCCCCCCGCCGUGCCUGCUGUUGAGACUAAUGGGCCUCCCAGCCCCACUGCCGUUGCUGCCGCUGCUACUCCGUUGCUAAUUCCCGCCGCCGCCGCGCCUGCUGCUGUUGCUAUUUCCCACCACCACCGUGCCUGAUGUUCAGACUAAUGCACCUCCCAGCCCCACCUUCGUUGCUGCCGUUGCUACUCCGUUGCUAAUUCCUGCCGCUGCCACGCCUGCUGUUUAGGCUACUGCACCUCCCAGCCCCUUCGCUGUCGCUGCUGCUGCUGCUGUGUUGCUAUUUCCCGCCACCGCCACGCCUGCCGUUUAGGCUACUGCACCUCCCAGCCCCACCUUCAUCGCGGCCGCUGCUACUCCGUUGCUAAAUCCUGCCACCGCCGCGCCUGCUGCUGUCUCUAUUUCCCGCCGCUGCUGCGCCUGCCGUUGAGGCUACUGCAUCUCCCAACCCCACCGCCGUCGCUGCUGGUGCUGCUGCUGUGUUGCUAAUUCCCGCCGCCUCCACGCCUGCCGUUUAGGCUACUGCACCUCCCAGCCCCACCUUCGUCGCUGCCGCUGCUACUCCGUUGCUAAUUCCUGCCGCCGCCGCGCCUGCUGCUGUCUCUAUUUCCCGCCGCUGCCGCGUCUGAUGUUUAGGCUACUGCACCUCCCAGCCCCACCUUCGUCGCUGCCGCUGCUACUCCAUUGCUAAUUCCUGCCACCGCCGCGCCUGCUGCUGUCUCUAUUUCCCGCCGCUGCUGCGCCUGCCGUUUAGGCUACUGCACCUACCAGCCCCACCUUCAUCGCGGCCGCUGCUACUCCGUUGCUAAUUCCUGCCGCCGCCACGCCUGCUGCUGUUGCUAUUUCCCCCCGCCGCUGUGCCUGCUGUUGAGACUAAUGGCCCUCCCAGCCCCACCGCCGUUGCUGCCGCUGCUACUCCGUUGCUAAUUCCCGCCGCCGCCGCGCCUGCUGCUGUUGCUAUUUCCCACCGCCACCGCGCCUGUUGUUCAGACUAAUGCACCUCCCAGCCCCACCUUCGUUGCUGCCGCUGCUACGCCGUUGCUAAUCCCCCCCGCCGCCGCGCCUGCUGUUGAGAGUAAUGGCCCUCCCAGCCCCACCUUCGUCGCUGCUGCUGCUGUUGCGUUGCUAUUUCCCGCCGCCGCCACGCCUGCCGUUUAGGCUACUGCACCUCCCAGCCCCACCUUCAUCGCGGCCGCUGCUACUCCGUUGCUAAAUCCUGCCACUGCCGCGCCUGCUGCUGUCUCUAUUUCCCGCCGCUGCUGCGCCUGCCGUUUAGGCUACUGCAUCUCCCAACCCCACCGCCAUCGCUGCUGGUGCUGCUGCUGUGUUGCUAAUUCCCGCCGCCU
rnacentral:lncRNA from 1 species